rnacentral:rRNA from 1 species
AGAGUUUGAUUAUGGCUCAGGAUGAACGCUAGCUACAGGCUUAAACACAUGCAAGUCGAGGGGCAGCAUGAUCUUAGCUUGCUAAGAUUGAUGGCGACCGGCGCACGGGUGAGUAACGCGUAUCCAACCCUCCCCUUAGUAGGGCAUAGCCCGGUGAAAAUCGGAUUAAUACCCUAUGUUUUCCAAUGAGGACAUCUGAGCUGGAACAAAGAUUGAUCGCUAAGGGAUGGGGAUGCGUCCGAUUAGGUAGUCGGCGGGGUAACGGCCCACCGAGCCAUCGAUCGGUAGGGGUUCUGAGAGGAAGGUCCCCCACACUGGUACUGAGACACGGACCAGACUCCUACGGGAGGCAGCAGUGAGGAAUAUUGGUCAAUGGACGUAAGUCUGAACCAGCCAAAGUAGCGUGCAGGAUGACGGCCCUAAUGGGUUGUAAACUGCUUUUAUCGGGGGAUAAAGUGAGGGACGUGUCCCUUAUUGUAGGUACCCGAUGAAUAAGGACCGGCUAAUUCCGUGCCAGCCGCCGC